rnacentral:rRNA from 1 species
GACGAACGCUGGCGGCGUGCUUAACACAUGCAAGUCGAACGGAAAGGCCCUGCUUUUGUUGGGUGCUCGAGUGGCGAACGGGUGAGUAACACGUGAGUAACCUGCCCUUGACUUUGGGAUAACUUCAGGAAACUGGGGCUAAUAUCGGAUAGGAGCUCCUGCUGCAUGGUGGGGGUUGGAAAGUUUCGGCGGUUGGGGAUGGACUCGCGGCUUAUCAGCUUGUUGGUGGGGUAGUGGCUUACCAAGGCUUUGACGGGUAGCCGGCCUGAGAGGGUGACCGGCCACAUUGGGACUGAGAUACGGACCAGACUCCUACGGGAGGCAGCAGUGGGGAAUAUUGCACAAUGGGCGGAAGCCUGAUGCAGCAACGCCGCGUGCGGGAUGACGGCCUUCGGGUUGUAAACCGCUUUCGCCUGUGACGAAGCGUGAGUGACGGUAAUGGGUAAAGAAGCACCGGCUAACUACGUG